rnacentral:lncRNA from 1 species
GGAUGUCAUCUUCGGGCACACCAGAAGAUGAUGUUGCAUGCUGCUCAGAUUGCACACUCUUCUUUUUCUUCCUAUCCUUCUUAUUUUAACUUUUCUUUCCCUCCCCAACCUUGUUCUCUUUCACAAUUUCUUCUUCUAGUUCCCCCAAAAUGUGAUAUGGGAAAAUUGGUACUUCCAUAUCCUCACCAUAACUCCAGUCAUUGAUCUUCUUCUGCCAUUCAAACUUGUCCUUGGAAAACUUGUAAAAAUCCCUUUGGUCCUUCUGCAUUUGUAACAACACUCUCCAUAAUACAUGGUCAAUUUUAAGGCUUGCUUCUUCACCUAUCGACCCUUGUCUUGCCUCCUCCUACCUCUUUCUACCUUUUGGAUUCAUCAAAGUUUGUAUGGCUGCCUUGUUAAAACCAGCGUGAGGUUGACACACAUCAUCAGUGGCUUUCUAAGGCACAUCAUGCCUUUUGUAGAUGGUUGUAAUUAGACAGAGGAAGUACACCAUCCAUUCCUUCUUUUUAGAACAAGCUUAGAUCUCCUACACAAUUAUCUUUGCUACAUUUACUUCACUUAUUGAAGUAAUGUAGUGGAGCAACACCAACCUCGCUUUGCUUAAAUUUUCAUUAUGAGUAGUAUGGCGUAAAUAAUGCUUAACAAACUAGUACCAAACCUUGGACUCAGGGUGCAAACCCAUUAUUCUCAAUAUCUUUUCACCACCAGCCUCAACCCACUUUAUUCCAGGAUUACACAGGGAUUCCAUGUAAAUGUUGUAAUCUUGGUAUUAGAAGUUUCCAACAUAUUUUGGUAGGUCUCCUCGACAUUACCUAAACCAAUUACGAAACUUAGUGUCGCUUCAAGAUAAGACACUUUAACUCCUCGCACCUUCACUUUCUCCUUCUUACUAUUGGUUUCUUUCAUAUUAGCAUAUAAAUCCUACAAAAGUUGGACAUUGUAGGGUUGUAGCUGUUUGCAAAAUUUUGUCCACUUUAUUGCUUUGAGAAGACACCCUAUGUCUCAUGGCAAGCCCAAAUGAUCAUCUUCUAAAUCAAACAUGAAACCCCUCUCCAAAUGCACACUCAUACCAGAAAAAUAAUAAGUGAACACCAUUGAUGAAGAUUUCUAUAUUGGAGUCUUCAUAAUCAGAGAAGAUGACUACCGACGUGGCAUUUUUAUGAGCACAAGCUUUGUAUCUUCCUCCAACAUAUGAUGGUUCAAUUGUGAAAUUAGGGUUAGGAAAAAGAAAGUCUUUGGAAGAGAGAUAUUAAAUUUUUUUAUUGUAAUGAAUGAUGAGGGAUUUGUUGAUUAUGUGUGCUUUAAAGUAGAGAGUGAGGAAAUGAAAGGGUAAAAUUUGAAAACUGCCAAGAGAGAGGGAGAGACAACCAAUUAGGGUUUAUGUAAUGGAUGGUUACUUGUGGUAGUGGUCAUAAUCAUGAGGAGUGGAAGAUAAGCCAUUAAUUGACAUGUCCAUAUGCUGACGUCAUGCACAAGGCUUGAAACAGUGUAUGCAUGCAUGUUAGUUUCUCUCUCCUAUUUUCCCUUUUUCUCUUUAUUUGAAAAUUUUCCCUUUUCAGUGUGCUGCCAAUUUUUCCCUCUCUCUCUCUCUCUAUAUAUAUAUAUAUAUAUAUAUAUAUAUAUAUAUGUUGUGUAAUGACAAAUGCUUCCUUCUACUUGUAGGAUUCCCAUAUUACAGGCAUGACAUCAAUUGAUAGUUACACUACUAAACUUUCUCAAUUCAUCAACAUUAUCUGAAAACACAUUAAACUAAAAAGAAAUAAAAGUUAAUAUGGGUUGCCUCCCAGUAACGCUAUUUUAUAGUCUUGUAGCCUGACUUAAAUAGAAUCAAAAUGAAUCAUUCAAAUCCAAGGUAGCCCAUCUGUUACGAAAGGGUUCACCAAAGUAGAAAUUUACUCUUUUACCAUUCACUUUAAAUUCUUCACUUAUUCUUUCAUUCAAUAAGUCCGCUGCUCCAUGAGGGACCAAACCAUCUAGACUUGAGUUUUCCUAGAAAAAGCUUAAGUCUAGAAUUAAACAAAAGAACAUUUUGACCUUCUACUAAUUCUCUUCUCUGGCACUUCUUGUCUUGCCACCUAUUUGUUUUUUCUUUGUAAAAUUCAACAUUUUCAUAAGAGAACAACCUAUGUUCCUCAAGCUCAUUGAGUUGGAGCAUUCUAGCUUGACCAACAAUAGUCAAAUUGAAAUUCAAAUUUUUUAUGGUCCAAAAUGCUUUGUGCUCUAACUCAAUUGGCAAGUGGAAUGCCUUUCCAUAGACAAGUCUAUAGGGAGACAUGCCUAAAGGAGUUUUGUAAGCAGUCAUGUAAGCCCACACGGCAUUAUCCUGGUGCUUUGACCAAUCUUUCCUUGAUGACAUAACCACUUUAUAUAAUAUCGUUUUUCUUUCUCUAUUUGAGACUUCAGCUUACCCACUACUUUAUGGAUGAUAGGCUGUAGAAACUUUAUGUUUGACUCCAUAUUUUUCCAUCACAUUUUCAAACAAUUUAUUGCAAAAAUGAUUUCUUUCAUCAGUAAUCAUUUCCCUAGGCAUGCCAUGUCUAGAAAAAAAUAUUUUUCACCAAGAAUUUGGUCACAACCUUGGUAUCAUUAGUGGGAGUUGCUUCUGCCUCUAUCCAUUUGAAGGCAUAAUCAACUGCAACUAGUAUGUAUAGAUUUCCAAAAGAUUGAAUGUCCCCAUGAAGUCUCUGCCUCAUACAUAAAAGAAUCAUAUUUCAAGGAUGUUAGUGAGGGGGAAUUUCUUGCCUCAUGGAGAUAUUCCCCAUUCUUUGGCAUCUGUUACAACUCUUAACUAGAUCAUGAGCAUCUUUAAAAAGAGAGGGCCAAAAAUAUCCUGAUUGAAGAACUUUUGUUGUAGUCCUGAUCCCUUCAAACUGUCUUCCAUAGAGAACAUCAUGAGAGGCAUACAAGAUCUGUCGUGCCUCUAGUUUAUCAACACAGGUGCAACUGGUCAACACAUCACUUGUAGAGAAAUGGUUCAUCCCAGAUGUAACUUUUGGUCAUAUGGAAAAACCUCUUCCUUUGUUGAGAUUUGGUAUUAGGUGGGAUGUAUCUACUGACCAGGUAGUUCAUAAUGUCAACAUACCAUGGUGUCACUCCAGAAGUAAUCAACAGUAGUUGCCUAUCAGGAAAGCUUUCUUGAAUUAACUUGUUGUUGUUUCUCUGAACUUCUUCUGGUAAUAUUGAGAGAUGAUCAACAACUAAGUUCUCCACUCCUUUCUUGUCUCUUAUUUCUAGGUCAAUUCUUGUAGUAGUCGCACCCAUCUUAUCAACCUAGUCUUAUCAUUCUUCUUGGAAAUGGGAUACUUAAUUUCAUCAUGAUCUGUAUAGACAACCACCUUUGUUCCUACCAGGUAAGAUCAUAACUUAUCAAAAGUAAACACAGAUGCCAACAGUUCCUUCUCAGUGGUGGUAUAGUUGAUUUAUGUUUCAAUCAAAGUCCGACUAACAUAGUAAAAGCAAGUUAAAAAAAUAAGAGGAUUUAAUAUAAAAGCAGUCAUCGACAAUGACGCCAAAAUUUGACUGGCUGCAAACACAUGAUUUCUAUCAAAAAAGUAAAAAAUGAUCGUUCCACGUACGACCAUUCAGAUUACUAAAUUCUCUUACUAUAAUGUGUUACUAAAACGAUGACUAAUUUUAGUUUGGAAUGAUUAUGAUUGGUUUUAAACAGUUUAUAAAAAGAGGAUUUAUGACUAUGAAUUAUAUUUUAGACUUACUCAUACAAGUUCUUAGUUUAAGUUCGUUACGAGAAAUCCUUGCUUUAUAGAAACAAAUAGAAAAAAAUUGAUAAUUGUCGACACAUUAUAUUUUCCCAAACUAAUGAACGACCUAUUUUUGUAAGCGUAGCUUAUUCAUUUAGGACCCUUUAAGUUUAGCUAUUUUAAUAUGGGACCUUUCUCAAUUAAGUUUGAGAUUCUUUCGUAACCUCAAGGUUAACUAUUUAGACUUUCUAAUUCAGACAUCAAUCAUACUCUUUUUAAUAUAUGAUUAAUGUCUAUGAACAUUUCUACUUUCAAAGAGAUAUACACAUUUAAAGCAAAAAAAUGAAAACAAGCAUGAAUUUUUCGUUGUUAACAUUUUAGCAGAAAACCUAUAUAAGGUAUGUCAUAAGAACAAUUAUCAUGGUCCUAAAUCCUAAAUGACUACUCAUACAUAGUUAAAUUAAAAACAUGCAUAAUAAUGAUUAAAAACAUAAACAUGAUAAAUAAAUAAUAACAAAAUAAUAAAGCAAAUAGCUAUUAAAACCUAGAUUGUAGUGUACAAAGGACCAAAUGUUCCGUAAAGACUUUUACAAACUUGAAGUGCAGCAAAAAAUAAAGCUAAUGCCGAGAACUCUAAGUAAUCUAGUAAAAUAUGACAAAAGUAAGGUAAUGAAAUUUGAGCUUACAAGGAAAUUUAAAAUCCUAGGUACAUUAAGAGAGUCAUAAAUUCAUAUUUAGAGCCCUUAAUCAUAAAAAGAAACAAAUGAGAAUUGAAAAGCCUAAAGAAAACAACUAAAACAAGAAAAGAAUCUAAUGUCAAUGAAGGCACUACGGGCAUAGCAACCACUACAGGAAGGCUAUAGUACCUUCUUCAUUUUUUUUAUAUGGGGCCCCAAAAAUGGAAGGGGGCGAGUCCUUGGGCAACUAUGGCCCGUAGCAGCUACUAUGACUUGAGCAUAAUGGGCUCUGGUUUUUGUAUGUGCUUUUUUCUUUUAGGUAGUCUUCAUGUGAUCCUUUUUAGUUUUUCUCAUAUGCACUAUAUUUGACCUUGUAUCUUCAAAACACUUGAAACAAAGAUAAAGGUAGAAAACAAAAGUAAAACGAACAAAACGAAAUAAAUAUACUAAGAUUGAACUAUGAAAACACACAACAAAAAAACUUAAAAACACUAUUGAUCAAUACCAAUUUCCUUUUUAUGUAAAUUUCCAUAUUGUAAACAUAUGUAAUAGAAUCUGCCAAGAAAUGUUUAUAAUGCAUGAACAUCGACAUAACGACCCAUGCUCUAUGAUAUAUAUAUUGGCAUGAGCCACCUCAUUGAGGAUACUAACCAAUAAUUAUAGAUCUAUGGAGUGUUUCACACUCUCCAAAUAGACUUAAAACAUCUUGGUGAGUGCAUGAGAGAUAUCAGAUCUUGACCUGUGCUGAAUCAAUAAAGUUGUGCUAAGCUUUAAUGAGAUGUAAGAAGAGAAGCAUGGUCAGUUCACAAUUCUUGUAAUCACAACAAAACCUAAAAGACCUUGAUGUAAUCCCAACUCACCGAAUGCAGUUGUGAAGAAGCAAUUUGUAAAUGAUUAAACAUAUCAACCUCGAAAUCAUUGAACAAAAGGUAAAAUGCUAUAGAGAAUAAACAUUCAUGAAGGGAAAUGAAACAUCCAUCAUAUAUAUUGCAUAUCAUCUUGUCUACUUCAGGGAGAAUCACCCUAUAAUAUUUAGAAGGUCCCACCACUGUGAACACAUGGUAUAUACCGCCCCCAUGAACAAAAGUAGAAGCAAUAUCUAGUGUAUCUUAAUCCAUCCACAAUAAUGAGUUAUCUCUUAUGGCUUUAUGAAUUUCAAGUUAGAUAUCUUCCAUUAUAAAGGAUACAACCAACACAUAAAAGUGAAUAAAUACAAAUAUCUUCCCAAGACAUACUUAAAGGUAAAUAUGACAUCCUUAUCAAAGUACACCUACAGGAAAAAGUUCAUCAAGAUAAAAAAAAUAGACAGAUUAGGAGCCCUUGGCCCUCAUAUCUAAAAACCCUAAUAAAGAAAGCAAGAUUGAAAGAAAUAUAGAUUUGUGUGUUACCUUAAAGAAGCAAUUUGGGAGCUCACACGCUGAAAGAGGAGGUGCGAACUGGUCGAAGAUGAAGGCUUAUGCGAGAUAAUGGAAAUAAUGGAAGAAAUUGCAAACAAAGAAGAAGAAUAAGAGUCUCUCAAAUCCACAUGGAAAUGAAAAAGAGAAGAUUAGUAGCCCAAGAACUUCUAAUAGUAAUUUUGCAUCAGUAAACCAUAUGAUAUACCACAUCGGGAAAUGAGAACCGCAAUAUAAACAUUCAAUAUUUAUUCAGGGACUGUUCAUAAUACCCAAGUAUCUUAGGAUAUAGAGAAUAUCAUGACCAUCAUACAUAUGGACACACGUAAGGGCCUCUAUGUGAAACCUCGAUAAUCAAGGGAAAACAUUUAAUGCAUUUGUUCUCAAUGCUAAAGACUUCCCAUCAUGAAUCUUCACCUACUUCUAUUAAGCAAUAUCUUAAAGAUGCACAUUGCAAAGCCCCAAUUCUACAUAAUAAAACAAGGGCUUGAGGAGCAACUGUUCUGGGCCGUUCGCGAGGUCCAUAGAAAAUUUCAAAUAUUGAACCUCGAGCAGAAAGGCACGCUAAGCAAGUAAACCUUCAUUAAAAUAAGAAGCAUGCAAUUCCUCCAUCUGACACAUCAAUCAUCACCAUAUCCAAUAUGAUGAUUUUCCGCGCAACAUGCCAUAUCACACGCAAGCAGUCUCAGUCGCCAUUUGAGAUAUUUUAUUCUCACUCACACAUUACUCUUAAUUUUUCUCACUAAUUUGGACGUUUGAGUGGUAAGUUUGCGGGUCAGCCUCCUUUCCACCGCAUCAGAAGCACGAAUCCACCAUAUUAAGACACAACUUUGCUACCUCGCCUAAAUUUCUAGUUCCUAAUCGAACUAAAUUAUAUAAAAUCAAAUUUGAUUAGAAUGAUCUUUAUGGUUUGAUUUGUUAUUUACAUUUUUUUCUUGUAUUUUCUCUCAUUGUUUAUACAUUUAAAAAAAAAUAUAUCGAGUUCUAUGAGGCCAAUUUGGUCAACUCAAAUUUGAACCUUGUCUUGAAUUUUUACUUCAUUAUUUUUUACUAUUUAUUUUUGAAAAUUCAUUAUCCAAUUCCAUGGGGCUCAUUUCCUAGCUUAAAAUUCGAACUUGAAACUUUGAGAGGAACACGUUCGCAUGUUCUAAACAUUCCUCGACAACCCACUCUAAUUUUUUUAAAGUUAAUUACUUUUAAAAUAGAGAAUGUCAUAGUAUUUGCUAGCAAUAUAAGGAUAUAAUUAAAUUUCACAUAUAAAUAUUUGUGAAAAAUAUCAUGAGUAUAAUAGUAAAAUUUGAUUGAUAUUUGUGAAAGUAUCAUAAGAAUUAUUAUAACGAAAUAGUAUAGUAAUAACAUUUGAUUGAUUGGAUUUGUAAUAUUUGUGAAAAUAUAGUAAAAAUUAGGAUUAAAUAUAUUUGUGAUUCUUCUAAAUAUCUCAAAUUUUAUUUUUAAUCCUUCAAAAUAUUUCCUUUAAAGAAUUGUUCUCCUAAAUUUUUUCAUCCACACUUUUAAUCCCUAAUACUAAAACCGUUGUUAAAACCGUCGCUAAGUCAGUAAUAAACCGUCGCUAAUUCAGUUCGCUAAGUUGUAAAAAUUAUCGUUAAAUUGCAAGAGAAAUUAAAAAUGUGAAUACAAAUUUUUAGAAGAACCAUUUAAAAAAAAUAUUUUAAAAUAACUAAAAACGAAAUUUAAAAUAUUUAAGAGGAUCACAAACAUAUAUUUAACCCUAAAUAUUCUUAUAACGAGAUAGUAUAAUAGUAAAAUUUUAUUUAUUAUAUUUGUUAAACUUUUUGCAUAUCAUUUAAUUUCAUAAUAUAAAAUUCCUUGCAUAAAACUAUGAAGGGAGAGUUAAGAUUGAAAAUACUUACUAUGGAGUAAGCAUAUCCAAACCUAUGUGUGUUAGGAUGUAUGGGUGUGAUUAUUAACGAGCUUAAGAAAAAAAACAAAAAGUGCAAAUUUGAUUCGUGGCUUGUGAGCAAACUUGAAACCCAACACUUGAAACCCAACUUGGAACCAAAUGAAGAGUAGCCAUAACAUUGCUCUCUUUGUCCACUAGUAUAUAGAAAAAUCCAUCAUCUUACCAUAUAGAAAAAUAUUACUAAUUUAAAAGAAAAAAUAUAGAAUUUUAGAAUGUCACAUAUAUCAAGAUUUUGGCCCAACCAUCAUUUUACAAUAGAAAAAAAAAAUGAGUGAGUGAGAGUGAGAUAUCAUGAUGAUUGAAGUUACUACAAACACAAAACCAAAGCAUGAAUUACAGCCAUUCAUUGAAUGAUAUUGCUAUCCAAAAUCUAAUCCUUACUUGUUUGGGCUCAUGAGUCACAACCACACAUCCACGUUGCCACAUCUUAUUUCCUUACUAUACUUCAUACUACAUAAUAAUACUAACAUUUAACUAAGACUUUGCUUCUCUGCAAAACUUCAAUACUACAAACUUCACCUUCAAAAUACUCAGUGUUCCUUGUUGGCUCAAUCAUGGCUUCGGCUACUUUCUCUGUAGCCAAACCAGCUAUUAAGGUCCAGUAUAACUCUAGCUUUACUAUAAAUAAGGUUCAUGCAGAAGCCAUAUUUAUAUUUACACUAGUUUUUCUUUUUCUUUGCUUUGUUUUAGGCAAAUGGGAAAGGCUUCUCUGAAUUCUCUGGUCUCCGCAACUCUUCAAGACAUCUUCCCUUUUCUAGAAAAUCUUCAGAUGAUUUUCAUUCUCUUGUUACCUUCCAGACCAAUGCAGUAAGUUCCUUAUCUCCAUUGAAUGACUAAUACUUUUGUUAUUGUAAAAAUGAAGAACUUGAUCAUAGUAUGUGUAAGAAAAAACCCUAGGGUCCCGAGAGAGUGAUCCUGAGAGUGUGAUUCUCUCAAGAUCUCAAAUUUGAAUUCUGCUAGGUGCUAACAAUGAUCCCCGCUAGUGGACGGUGGGAUUCGAAAAAAUUAAGUGACAUGUUUUACAAUUUUGCAUCUAUCUAUCUAUCAAUUUAUAUAUGUAUAUUUGAAGGUUGGAAGUAGUGGAGGACACAAGAAAAGUCUUGUAGUGGAAGCAAAACAACUGAAGGUAGCCAUAAAUGGAUUUGGAAGAAUUGGAAGGAACUUCUUGAGAUGUUGGCAUGGUCGCAAGGACUCGCCUCUUGAUGUCAUUGCCAUCAAUGACACCGGAGGUGUAAAGCAAGCUUCUCACCUUCUCAAGUAUGAUUCCACACUUGGAAUCUUUGAUGCUGAUGUUAAGCCUGUUGGUACUGAUGGCAUCUCAGUUGAUGGAAAGGUUAUCAAAGUUGUCUCGGACCGCAACCCUGCCAACCUUCCUUGGAAGUAAGCUAGUCUCUCAUUCACUGAUUUAUGAACAUGUUAUAAGUUAUUUCAAUAAGCUUUGUCUCAUAAAUGAUCAUGUUAGUAGAUAAGUUUAAAUAUAUCAAUCUAAAUAGACCCUUAAGUAGAUAAGAACUUCUCCAAUGCUCAUGGAGAAAAUUGUCUAAAGAAUAUACAUUAGUGAUUGAUCAAUAAGGACAUUUAAAUCAUACAUCAUCAUUGUGUAUCGAUUGUUGGUUACCGAUUUAUUAAGCAGCGACACACAGGCUAUAAAGAUUGCUAUUGAUAUUUUGCAGGGAGUUGGGGAUAGACUUGGUGAUUGAAGGAACUGGAGUGUUUGUGGACAGAGAAGGUGCAGGGAGGCACAUUACAGCAGGGGCUAAGAAGGUUCUCAUCACUGCCCCCGGAAAAGGAGACAUCCCUACUUAUGUGGUUGGUGUCAAUGCUGAUGCUUACACCCACGCCGACGACAUUAUCAGCAAUGCUUCUUGCACCACUAACUGCCUUGCUCCCUUUGUCAAGGUCCUUGAUCAGAAAUUCGGUAAUGUACCUUAUCACCACAUUUUCUAACAAGGAUAUGUACUUUUUUGUUUGUAACAUAUGAAGAUAUAUUGGGCAAUAGGUAUUAUCAAGGGUACCAUGACUACCACUCACUCCUACACCGGUGACCAACGGCUUCUUGACGCGAGCCACCGUGACCUAAGGCGUGCGAGAGCAGCAGCCCUCAACAUAGUCCCAACAUCAACAGGAGCAGCUAAAGCAGUGGCCCUUGUCCUCCCAACACUCAAAGGCAAGCUCAACGGUAUUGCGCUUCGUGUGCCAACACCAAACGUUUCGGUGGUGGACCUCGUCGUUCAAGUCUCAAAGAAGACAUUUGCUGAAGAAGUGAAUGAGGCUUUUAGAGAGAGUGCAGCCAAGGAGCUGACUGGUAUUCUCUCGGUCUGUGACGAGCCACUCGUGUCUGUAGAUUUUAGGUGCACCGAUGUGUCGUCUACCGUUGAUUCGUCAUUGACAAUGGUCAUGGGCGAUGACUUGGUUAAGGUGAUUGCUUGGUAUGAUAAUGAGUGGGGUUACUCACAAAGGGUUGUUGAUUUGGCUGACAUUGUUGCCAAUAACUGGAAGUAAGAGCCAAAUAAGGUUUGUUAAUUAUAUCUAUAUCUAUAUAUAUAUGUACGUACCAUGUGCCAUUGUAAUUUUGUACACUUCUUGCUUAUUUUUUUCUUUCUAAACUUGUAUUGAGAAACAGAACCAUCAAUUUUCUCUAGCUCCUCAUUGUGCAAUAAAUUGUUUUACCUUGCUGAAAUAUACAUGUUGAUACUAAGCUUCCAAAUCUAUAUAUGCACCAUUGCACAUUGAUAUAACCAUUGCAUAUUGUUAUAAUCUUAUUGGGGUUUGUAAAUUAUAUGAGAAAAUAAUAAAUUUCACUCUAAACAAAAUAAUGGAAAAAAUAACAUAAAUACCACGAGUAUCCUAAGUGUAUCCGAUUCGGGGUGCGUACUAGAUAUUGAUAUGCCAUCAGUUUAGAAGUACCCGUGCUUCAUAGACUUUCACGAGAUACCCACAUAAAGUUGUUUUGCCAUUUUAUUCACAUGGUGUUGAAUAGGGGGCAGGAUGGAUCAAGGUUGAUACCCUUCUUAAAAAGGUUGCUUCUCAAAGAAAGGAUGUUACUAGUUAGCUUCUAGAUGAAGUUUUCGGCUCUUUUUGGAAUAUGUACUUGCCAACUUUUUUUCCUUCCAAAUUCCACUAUUUCUGCAACUACAAUUCUUAGGCAUCUGCUUUGAUUUUUCUUUCCAAGUAGAUGGUGGGGGAGAUCUUAGGGAAUACUCCCCUCACUCUUGACAAUCCCAAAUGAGAUCAUCACUAUGAGUUUUACUUAAAUCUUAUUGGUGACUGUUUUUAACUAAGGGUUUGUUUGCUAGGGGGAUUUUUAGAGGGUGGAAGGGAGUGGAGGGGAUGAGAAAAAUAUUUUAAAUAAAAAGUUUUUUCAUUCCAUAUUCAUCAAAAAUCUUAAAAUAAUGUGCGUGAGUUAUUGUUGUUCUCAAUACUCUCCCAAAUGUGAGUCUAUCAAUAAUACACUUGUGUCCUCCCUUUAUUCAAUCAGACUCUGAUAUCAAUUUGUUGAGUCAUAAGGAUAAGCAUCAACAUUAGGUUAAGAGCAACAUGCAACUAAGAUAAACAUUACAUAUCCAUAUAAAAAAAACUGAAGGUGAUAGGUGUAUGAGUUCUCCCAGUUAUAAAUGUUCAAGUCUCCACAUUUAUAAGUAAUGUGAGACUCCAACUCACAUUUGACUUAUUAUUCUUAAAAAAUUUGGGGGGUCAACGUCAAGAUGAGGGAGAUUUUUACUUUGGAGAUUUUCUUUAUAAGUAACACACUUUUGUGAGAGACAUGUCACGUAUUCAUUCAAAAUCUUAAGAUGAUAUAUGUGCGGAUUCUCCUACUUAUAAAUGGUAAGUUUCCACAUUUUUAAUCAAUAUGAAACUUCCUCGUUUUGGAGAUAUGUUAAAUUACAAUUCAAUAUAUUAACAAAAUUAACCUCAAUUUUUUUUAUAAAAAUUAUAAUUUAUCCCUAAAAUAUUAAAAGUUAAGUUUUCUAUCAAUUUUUAUAUGUUAAUUUUUUUUUGUGGUUAAAAGUUUGUUUAUCGCUCAAAUUGAUUUCAUAUGCUACGAUCACGGUUUUUUCUGUUUAUUUUUCAAAUCAAUAUCAUUUUUACUUUUAUCUUUUCACAUAAAUUUUAUUAUUUUCAUUAUAAUGAUUAUACUUUUUUAUGUGUUUUAUUUUGUUUUUCUGUUAUUGUUUUUUGAUUAUUGUUUUAUUAUUAUUUUUGUAAAUAUAUUAAUAUUUUUCUUUAACAUAAUUUUCUUUAAAUUUUAUUGAAUUCAAUUAUAUUUUAAAAUUGUAUAUUAUUAUCGUUACGUUUUUACAAAAUAUCUUAUGAUGUUCUAUGAUUGAAUUUUGUUAAUGAAUUUAUGUUCGAAUUAUGAGUGGUAAUUAUCAUUAUAUUUCGUUAAUGAAUUUGUGUUUGAAUUAUGAACGAUAAAUAUCAUGAUUCUUAUAAUAAAAUUACAAGCAUAAAAACGUAAAUUAAUUUUAAAAUACCUCAUCUCUCUUUAUGAACUAAACAUGUUUGUAACUAAAAUUCCACCUUUCCCCUUUCAUAUUUUGAACCAAACAUAUAUGUAAAUCAAAUCAUUCCCCUCCCUUCUAUUGAAAAUAUAAUUCUUUGUGUCAAAAUAGCAUUUCGACAGAGUCUAUUGUUGUUGAAAUGCUCUGCAUGCAAAAAUUGUAUAAUUGUCGAAAAGAAGAAUUUAUUGACAGAAAGUUAAACUUAGCAUUUAUUUUGUGUUUUAGCUGAGUUAGUUAGUUUGUUAGAGAUUACUUAGUGUGAAAGCAAUCUCAGCAUAUAAAUAAGGAAGUACCCUAUCAUUGUAAUAACACAGUUGCAUAGAGAAAAUAUUGAAUAAAACUUUAGUUUGAAGGCAAAGAGAAACUCUUCAGAAAUAUUCUCUUGCUUUCCCUUUUCUCUCAAACCCUAGCCCCUCUUACUUCCCAAUUCAUCUUUUCUUUUCUUCUCAAAUUUCUAUGCAUCGAAAUCAUCUCGCAACCAAGAAGUGAUUGAUGCACUCAAGUGAAGAGUAAAGCACAAGAGGCGGAAUCAAUCGAAAGAAUUGAUUCUUGUUCAUCAAGAUUGAUUCAGAAUUCUCUAAAUUUUGGUGAAAUUCCAACACCAGGAAUUUGUCAAAAAUUCCAAUAUCUGGUAUCUAGAGUAAUGCUGUAUGAUUCUUGGGAAGCAUAGCACGACGAAUCAUCCGAACGUGUAUUUUCCAACAAGUCUUUCAAUUCUGAAUAGUAAGAAUUAUGAUAAUUUGUGUAAGCAGAUGAAGAUUGUAUUUUGUUAUCAAGACAUGUGGGAUCUUGUGAAGGAAGGGGUAACGACACUUGUAGAAAACACGACGAAUGAAGGAAAGGCUGUACACAAAGAAUUGAAGAAGAAAGAUUAUAAAACUCUUUUUAUAAUUCAUCAAUGUGUUGAUCCAGAAAACUUCAAAAAGUUGAGUGAUGUUGAAUCAGCGAAAGAAGCAUGGGAAAUUUUGCAGAAAUCGUUUGGAGGCGCUGAGAAGGUGAUAGAGGUGAGGUUACAAACUCACAAAAGAAUGUAUGAAUUUCUUCAGAUGGAAGAAGUUGAAAGCAUAACUGAUUUUUUCAAAUCAAGGUAUGUGGAGAAUUGUGGAGAUCAAGAUCAGUUGUCGCAAAAAUCUUGAGGUCAUUGUGUAGCACCUCAAAUUUGCACCUCCCAUUUGUAUACACAUUUCGUUUGUAGGUCAUUAACAUUGCAUUGUCAUUGCAUAGUCCAUUGCAUCUCAUCAGUCAAGACUGGUCAGGAGAUUCAACUGUGCAAGGCAACAAGAGCAUUUUCCAUGAAAUCAAAGCCCUAGGGUGGUUCCAAUGAGCUUACAUUACCCAAGGAUCAUUUUGAAGUAGCUUGGCCAAGUGUUGAAGGCUCAGAAUUCAUCAGUGCAUGUGCAAGUCAUCUGAGGCCUAUAAAAGUCAACAGGAGUCAACAGAAGUCAACAGAAGUCAAUUGCAAAGUCAACUGUGGAUUUGGAGGUGGGAAGUGAUUAGAGAUGCUUCAUUCAUGUUCAGACAAGUCUCAUUUGACAUUUCAAACACUCACAUUGAAGAAUUUGAAGUCAGGACAAGACUUUCCCAAAAUAGCAAGUGACCUGUAAUUUGAAAUUUCCAAAAAUGGAAAGGUUUUGGACCAACUUCAACUCAAGAUUACAUCAUCAAGAAAGCUUCAAAUGAAAUUUUGUCCAACAUGAAAGUUGAAGAUCUUUCUCUCCCAUUUCCAAAAGUUUUGGACCAACUUCAACUCAAGAUUACAUCAUCAAGAAAGCUUCAAAUGAAAUUUUGUCCAACAUGAAAGUUGAAGAUCUUUCUCUCCCAUUUCCAAAAAGUCCAAGAUCAUGGAUUUAUGAUGUGUGGUUGAGGAGAUAUCAUCCAGUCAUGACAAAGUGUGUUUGAAAAUUCAAAUGGGCAUAACUUUUGAACCAAGGCUCCAAUUUGGGUGGUUAUUUUUGCAUUUUGUUCAUCAUAACAUGUACUUUCCAAACAUCUCAUUACAUGGCAUAAAUUUCCUUUGCAUGAUCAUGUGCUCACUCAUGAAGUUUUUGGAAGAAAAAUUUCAUAAAAUCAAUUUGAUGGAUCAUAUGCAUAAAAUUCCAAUUCAAAUGUGUGCAUGGAGUAAUUUUAAGUGAUUUUGGGCCUUAUGUUGGUACUAUUCACGCAUGCAUGAAGUGCAUGAGGUGAAAAUACCAUUUUGCACAUACACCUCAUAAGUUGUUAAUCUUGAUUAGCUUUGGUUAAAACAGAUUUUCAGCAUCAUUAGUAAGUGGUAUAUAAGGUUAAUCUUAACUGCAUUCAUGAUGAACAUCCAUUUCAGAUCUGAAUCUUGAAUUUGAUCAAAAAUUUUCUCUCAAAAUAUUUUCCAAAUUCUUCAUAUAAACACUCAGUUUCUUGCAUUAUUCUGGAUCCUGGAAAAGAUUAGAGUGAGAUUGCACGUAAAUCUUGGAGCAUUCAUGCCAUAUUUAACCACACAUGAAGCUUGAAGCAUCCAUGGAAUUUUCAAAUUGAGCUGGAACCACACGUGCUGGAGCUUCAAUCUUUUCACCAAUCAUCUCACCAAGCAUUGCAAAGGAUUUUUGGACCAUCACAAGCCUUGAAACAAGCCAAACCCGAAUCUGCUCGUCAAGAGGUAGGAUUUUUUAUUCUCAUAAUUCUCAAAUCCAUGUGUAUGUUUGUGUAGAUCUCGUGUUGUUGAGAAUUCUGGUGGAAAAAUCACUUAAAAUGAUGCAAUAUCCAUGAAGUUAUGCAUGAUUGAAGUUUGAAGUGCAAGAAUGUUCUUCUUCGAUUUGAUCAUGUUAUUAGGAAUUAGGAAUAAAUGUUUCUUGAUCUAUGAUCCACGUGAAAAAUGCUUUUGAAUGCUAUGCUUGUUUUUAAUUUCUGGAGUUUUUUUGGAUUUAUGGAAUUUGAAGAUGAAUCUUCAUCUUCUUCGUGAUGAAGAUGAUGAAUCUUCAUAGUUUGCUACGAAUGUUCUUCAGCCAGCCACGGUUUAGCUACGAAAUCCUGUGUUUGCUACGAAUUCUAGGCGCUUAGGGUUUUAAGACCAAAACGGUGUCGUUUUGGUGAGCGCGCCCAUAUUUGAAACUGGCUGAGGUUCGAGUCCCACCGAGCGCAUAUUUUCAAAUUGUUUAGCCUUUUCACAUGUUCCCUCCAUUAUUCAUGCUUUGUACAUUUUUGAAAUCCAAUUUUUCUCCCAACUUCAAAAAAUCAUAUAAAAUGGAAAAAUGCUCCAAUUGAUCCCCACAUAUUUUGCAAAAUGCUCCUUAUUCUAUCUAGUUUUUUAUGAGCAUGAAUUUACAAGUUGUGCCUGGCUGGAAAAAUAUUUUGUUCUAGGAUGAUUGGAUACAUAUGCAUGUGUGACCUUGCCUUGCUUAUCUUAUUGUAAAAUGCUCAAAAAUGAUCUAAUGGCUUUGAAAUUUUGUGUGUAGCUUCUUGACACAUUGAUGAACAUUUUGGCUUUGGUUUGACAUUUUUCUCAUGAUCCAUUUCUGUUUUAUGCUUGUGCUAACUUGGUGUGACAAUUUGUGUCACACAUUUGGUUGUCUGAUUUGUACAAUGUGAUUGCCAUGCCAAAUGAUCUCCAAUGCUUCUGAUUUUUUGUAUGUUGAUCAUGUUAGAUGUCUUGAAUGUGCAUGAUUUUUUCCAGAAUUAUUUGAAUCAUUUCUGUUUUGAUUGAGAUUUUUCAUUCAUGUUGAUCAUUUGGAUGCUUUGAAUUGGUCAUUGACUUCACAUGCUUGGUACAUGAACUUGCCUAUUGAUUAUGAUUUGGGUCUUUUUAGGACUUAUUAUUGAGUGAUUAAACAUGCUUUGUGUUGAGUUUGAGGUUCUGUUUUGGAUUUUUGAUCCUCUUUUGACCCUAGGCUUUGACCUAGUGGUUUGGACUUACCAUUUGGGUUGUGAAUUUCAGGUUCAAGUGUACAUUUCCAUGAUUGGAGCGGCUCCUUCAUUUAAGCUUGGUCAAUUGUUGUCAUGUUCUAACCUUUGUGUGUUUUGUAGGCUUUGAGAACAAUUCACUUGUGCUUGUGGCUUGCUCAUUGUUGUCUGAUGAUGCUUUGUCUGUCUGCUUGUUAUUAACUGUUGAUUGUUUGUCUGUACAGUUGAACUGAUUGGUUUAGACGUUUCCACAGGUACCUAAGUUGCUUUGAGUUCAUUUGAACUUGCUUGGCAUUGCUUGUGGUUUGCAUACCACUGAGGUAUAAUCUCUUGACUUCAUGUAGUCUGGAAGACCUACUAUUAUUGGUAGGCACCUGUCUGAAGCCCUCCUUAAGAGGCAAUGCUUGUGUUUGUUUAAUUUUGUGCCAAGCAGGUAAAGACCUCUUAAGAGGCAAUUGGCAGAUAAAAGUGAUAACAUGAAAUAAUAUCACGUUCUAGGACUCGAUUUAAUUAAAUUAUAUUAUUAUUUACUUCAGUUUAUUUCAUUUUACGCGAUAUUACUCGGUAUUUUCUUUCUAUUUGUCUCAGGUAGCUUAUUUGAAAAGGAAGUGAAAAAGGAAGAAAAGGAUGUGAAAAAGGAAUGAAAAGAAGCAAAUAUCAAAAGCCAAAGCCCANNNNNNNNNNNNNNNNNNNNNNNNNNNNNNNNNNNNNNNNNNNNNNNNNNNNNNNNNNNNNNNNNNNNNNNNNNNNNNNNNNNNNNNNNNNNNNNNUGACCUAGUGGUUUGGACUUACCAUUUGGGUUGUGAAUUUCAGGUUCAAGUGUACAUUUCCAUGAUUGGAGUGGCUCCUUCAUUUAAGCUUGGUCAAUUGUUGUCAUGUGCUAACCUUUGUGUGUUUUGUAGGCUUUGAGAACAAUUCACUUGUGCUUGUGGCUUGCUCAUUGUUGUCUGAUGAUGCUUUGUCUGUCUGCUUGUUAUUAACUGUUGAUUGUUUGUCUGUACAGUUGAACUGAUUGGUUUAGACGUUUCCACAGGUACCUAAGUUGCUUUGAGUUCAUUUGAACUUGCUUGGCAUUGCUUGUGGUUUGCAUACCACUGAGGUAUAAUCUCUUGACUUCAUGUAGUCUGGAAGACCUACUAUUAUUGGUAGGCACCUGUCUGAAGCCCUCCUUAAGAGGCAAUGCUUGUGUUUGUUUAAUUUUGUGCCAAGCAGGUAAAGACCUCUUAAGAGGCAAUUGGCAGAUAAAAGUGAUAACAUGAAAUAAUAUCACGUUCUAGGACUCGAUUUAAUUAAAUUAUAUUAUUAUUUACUUCAGUUUAUUUCAUUUUACGCGAUAUUACUCGGUAUUUUCUUUCUAUUUGUCUCAGGUAGCUUAUUUGAAAAGGAAGUGAAAAAGGAAGAAAAGGAUGUGAAAAAGGAAUGAAAAGAAGCAAAUAUCAAAAGCCAAAGCCCAACCCAAAAAGCACAGGCGCUACGCCUGUGACGAGCGUCACACAGGCUGUGACGAGCGUCACGCUCUGCCCACUUGUGUUACGAGCGUAACACAUGGUGUGACGGACGUCACACCAUUCUCCUAUAUUUUUGGCUCCAGAAGCGCAACAAAGACGUUGAGGCCUAUUGUUACGCUUGACCGUUUGCAACGUGAAGGCUAUGUACACGGAAAACCUUUGGAAGCAGUUACAGAAGUGACUAAUAUAAAUAGUAGCUUUUGGCAAAAACCCUACGUCGCUCUUUUUCUGCUUUUUCCUCGGCCGUUUCUCUUUUCCGCGCUUUUUCUCUUCCAGCAGUGCAAGCAUAUUUUACAGCAUUAUUUUUACAGUCUUUAUUUUUUUUCCUUUGCAAUUUCUAUUUUCCUUUCCAGCAAUUAAUUAAUUUUUUGCACAAUAGUUUCUACACCGGAAACUAUUGUGUACCUUUCACUAGAUCUAACCUUACGUUAGACCCUAGAUUUUUAUUCCUUCACUUUUAUUUUUCUGUCUGAUUGAAGAAUUCAAGAACAAAUCCAACCGGUCUGUGGUGGAUGUUCAAGACUNAUCAAAGUAUUACCCGCCUUAGCUUUACGAAGUAACCUUAGAAAAUGGUAUAUCGAUUCAUAAGUCCCUGUGGGAUCGAUAUCUUUUAAAACUACGCGAUAGAACUGUGCACUUGCAGUUUGUACCCUAAAUUCGACUCAUAAAGUCGCGAUCAAGUUUUUGGCGCCGUUGCCGGGGACUUUUAUUAAGUCGAUAUCGUAACUCUUCUGUUACGUUGUAGAGACUAAGGUUUUUCUUUUUCUUUUCUUUCUUUCGUUGAUUUGUAUGCCACACACUCGCUCACAAGGCGAGCCGUACUACUUACGAAUCAACGAUAUCGAACUAUAUCUCCGAGUCUUACGACGAAUUCGGGAAUAUCAUGCUGCAAACAAUCUCCCUCCUAGCGAAAUUCCUGAUUUCAAAAAUCUUUUCCCUUCAGUACCCGAGAUGGCAGAACCAGCUCGUGCUCUUCGAGAUUACGCCGCUCCAUCGCAAGAUGAGCCGAAUUCGAGUAUUGCUCCACCCGCAAUCGAAGCAAACAACUUCGAACUUAAACCUUCACUGUUGCAGGCAGUGCAACAGAACCAAUUCUCUGGAAAUCCUACCGAGGAUCCAAACCUUCAUUUAUCCGUAUUUGUCCAAUACGCUGAUACUGUUAAAGCUAAUGGUGUCACUUCAGAGGCAAUUCGACUUCGUCUUUUUCCUUUCUCAUUAAGAGAUAGCGCUAGAAGAUGGCUUCAAUCUCUUCCUUCCAACUCAGUCACCACAUGGAACGAGUUGAAGAAAGUUUUUCUUGCCCGAUAUUUUCCGCCAAGCAAAACAGCUAUGUUAAGAGCCCAGAUAAACGGAUUUAAACAGAAAGACAACGAGUCUCUUUUCGAAGCAUGGGAAAGAUACAAAGACAUGAUGAGACUUUGUCCACACCAUGGUUUGGAAGACUGGUUAGUAAUUCACACAUUUUAUAAUGGUCUCUUAUACAACACAAGGUUAACAAUAGACGCCGCUGCAGGUGGUGCACUAAUGAANNNNNNNNNNNNNNNNNNNNNNNNNNNNNNNNNNNNNNNNNNNNNNNNNNNNNNNNNNNNNNNNNNNNNNNNNNNNNNNNNNNNNNNNNNNNNNNNNNNNNNNNNNNNNNNNNNNNNNNNNNNNNNNNNNNNNNNNNNNNNNNNNNNNNNNNNNNNNNNNNNNNNNNNNNNNNNNNNNNNNNNNNNNNNNNNNNNNNNNNNNNNNNNNNNNNNNNNNNNNNNNNNNNNNNNNNNNNNNNNNNNNNNNNNNNNNNNNNNNNNNNNNNNNNNNNNNNNNNNNNNNNNNNNNNNNNNNNNNNNNNNNNNNNNNNNNNNNNNNNNNNNNNNNNNNNNNNNNNNNNNNNNNNNNNNNNNNNNNNNNNNNNNNNNNNNNNNNNNNNNNNNNNNNNNNNNNNNNNNNNNNNNNNNNNNNNNNNNNNNNNNNNNNNNNNNNNNNNNNNNNNNNNNNNNNNNNNNNNNNNNNNNNNNNNNNNNNNNNNNNNNNNNNNNNNNNNNNNNNNNNNNNNNNNNUUACACCCAUUAUACUGGGAAGACCGUUCUUAGCAACUGCCGGUGCGAUCAUAGACGUAAAACGAGGACGACUCACUUUCGAAGUAGGAGAAGAGAAAAUUGAGUUCAUUCUUUCCCAAUUUUUGAAAGCACCUGCAAUAGAAGAUACAUGUUACUUCAUGGAUAUCAUCGAUGAAUGCAUAAAAGAAACAGAGUUAGAAAAAGACAAAUCAUCUGACUAUCUUGUAGAAGACAAACUUAACCAAUGUCUAGCAAUAACACCGGACCCUACGCAAUGCCUUAAGAAACCAACCCUAGACCUAAAAACACUUCCCAAAAAUCUAAGAUAUGAAUUCCUAGACUUAGAACUUGAACGACCAGUGAUAGUUAAUGCAGACCUAGGAAAACUCGAAACAGAAAAACUCCUAUAUAUCUUAAGAAAAUAUCCAACUGCACUAGGAUACAACAUCACCGAUCUUAAAGGAAUAAGUCCUUCUAUCUGCAUGCACCGCAUCAUGCUAGAAGAAGACUGUAAAACUUCUAGGGAACACCAGAGGAGACUAAACCCGAUCCUGAGUGAGGUAGUGAAGAAGGAAAUAACCAAGUUAUCAGAGGCAGGUAUCAUAUAUCCUAUAUCUGAUAGCAAAUGGGUUAGUCCUGUACACGUAGUACCAAAGAAAGGAGGUGUAACAGUUAUUGAAAAUGAAAAAGGAGAAACUAUAACCAAACGAAUCGAANNNNNNNNNNNNNNNNNNNNNNNNNNNNNNNNNNNNNNNNNNNNNNNNNNNNNNNNNNNNNNNNNNNNNNNNNNNNNNNNNNNNNNNNNNNNNNNNNNNNAUGAAGCGAUGUCCAUUCGAAGCAGUAGGCUCAAUCUUCCCAAUCAUAUCAAUGCCCCACAUGGCAAACGGCCAAGGCGAAUUCAUGACAUUCAGAGGGCUUGGUGGUACAUGCACCUUAUCAGCAUAGAUUUGACACUUAUGGCACUUCCGAGCAUACUUGAAACAAUCGGAUUCCAUAGUCAUCCAGUAAUAACCCGCUCUCAACAAUUUCUUAGCCAUUGCAUGUCCGCCGGCAUGAGUACCGAAGGAACCUUCAUGAACUUCUUGCAUCAACAUGUCCGCCUCGGGUUUGUCCACGCAUCUGAGCAAGACCAUGUCAAAGUUUCUCUUAUACAACACAUCAUCCUGAUUCAAAUAGAAGCUUCCAGCUAGCCUUCUCAGGGUUUUCUUGUCAUUCUUAGACGCACCUUCAGGAUGCUCCUGAGUCUUGAGGAAAUUCUUGAUGUCAUAAUACCAUGGCUUCUCAUCAAUCGCAACAGACUCGGCUGCAAACACAUACGCAGGCCUCUCCAGUCGAUUCACCUCAAUAUGUGGCACAUGAUUCCACCAAUGAACUUUGAUCAUGGACGACAAAGUAGCCAAAGCAUCAGCCAUUUGAUUCUCAUCCCGGGGGACAUGAUACAGCUUCACUUUCUUGAAGAACGUCAGUAUUCUUCUGGUGUAAUCUCUAUACGGAAUCAAAUGCGGCUGGUUCGUAUUCCAAUCUCCAUUGACUUGAUUGACCACUAGAGCUGAAUCUCCAUAAAUAUCAAGUGUUUUGAUCCUCAGAUCAAUGGCCUCUUCGAUCCCCAUGAUACAAGCCUCAUACUCAGCUUCAUUGUUGGUGACGUCAAACGUCAAUCUGGCAGAAAAAGGUAUAUGAGCACCUUUAGGAUUGAUCAACACAGCCCCAACACCGUUACCGUUCAUAUUCACAGCCCCAUCAAACAUCAGUGUCCAUUUGUCAUCCGGGUCCGGUCCUUCCUCGACAAGAGGCUCUUCGCAGUCUUUCAUCUUGAGAUACAUGAUGUCUUCAUCAGGGAAUUCAAACAUCAUAGGCUGAUAAUCUUCAAUCGGUUGCUCGGCGAGGUAGUCUGACAGAAUACUACCUUUGAUGGCCUUUUGUGACGUGUACUGAAUAUCAUAUUCUGUUAGAAUCAUCUGCCAACGAGCAACGCGUCCGGUGAGAGCCGGUUUCUCAAAGAUGUACUUCACUGGAUCCAUCUUAGAAAUCAAUAAGGUAGUAUGGUUCAACAUAUACUGCCUCAGUCGGCGAGCAGCCCAGGCCAAAGCACAGCAAGUUUUCUCGAGCAGUGAAUAUCUUGUUUCACAGUCGGUAAACUUUUUGCUAAGGUAGUAUAUGGCAUGCUCUUUUCGACCAGACUCGUCAUGCUGUCCCAAUACACACCCCAUCGAGUUCUCCGUCACUGACAGGUACAUUAUCAGAGGUCUCCCUGGAACUGGAGGUAUAAGGAUUGGAGGUUUCUGUAAAUACUCUUUAAUCUUGUCAAAAGCUUUCUGACAAUCAUCAUUCCACUUGAUCGCUUGAUUCUUUCUAAGCAGUUUGAAAAUUGGUUCACACGUGGCAGUUAGGUGAGAUAUGAACCUUGCAAUGUAGUUCAAUCUCCCUAAAAACCCACGGACUUGCUUCUCCGUUUUCGGUUCAGGCAUCUCUUGAAUAGCUUUGACUUUCGCUGGAUCAACCUCAAUCCCUUUCUCACUGACAAUGAAGCCUAAAAGCUUCCCUGAUCUCACCCCAAACGUACACUUGUUCGGAUUCAACCUCAGCUUGAACUUUCUCAACCGGUCAAACAGCUUCUGCAAAUUAACCAGGUGCUCCUCUUCUGUCUGCGACUUCGCAAUCAUAUCAUCUACGUACACUUCAAUUUCUUUGUGCAUCAUGUCAUGAAAAAGAGUCGUCAUUGCCCUCUGAUAGGUAGCACCAGCAUUCUUUAGCCCAAAUGGCAUCACCUUAUAGCAGAACGUGCCCCAAGGUGUAAUGAAUGUCGUCUUUUCCAUGUCCUCUGGCGCCAUCUUGAUCUGAUUAUAUCCAGAGAAACCAUCCAUGAAAGAGAAUACCGAGGAUUGAGCCGUAUUAUCAACCAAUACAUCAAUGUGAGGUAAUGGGAAAUCAUCUUUCGGACUCGCUCUAUUCAAAUCCCGGUAAUCGACACACAUUCUGACUUUACCAUCCUUCUUCGGCACAGGAACGAUGUUGGCCACCCAUGGGGGAUAACUUGUAACAGCCAAAAAACCUGCAUCCCACUGCUUCUGAACCUCUUCCUUGAUCUUAGUUGCCAUAUCAGGACUCGUUCUACGAAGCUUCUGCUUGACCGAAGGACAUCCUUCUCUAAGAGGUAAUCGAUGCACCACAAUGUCUGUAUCCAACCCAGGCAUAUCUUGAUAUGACCAGGCGAAUAUCUCCACAUAUUCUCUCAGCAUCUCAAUCAGCCUCCUCUUGACAGAGUCCUCUAAAGCAGCCCCAAUCUUGAUUUCUCUUUUGGCGUCCUCAGUACCCAAAUUAACAACCUCCAACUCCUCCUGAUGAGGUUGGAUGACCCUUUCCUCCUGCUUCAGCAAUCUGACCAAUUCUGCAGGGAGUUCACAGUCUUCCUCACUCUCCUCUUCAGCUUGGUAGAUGGGAUUGUCGAAAUCAUACUGAGCCAUAACAGAACUGUUCAUAGUGAAUGCCAUAAGAUCGCUUCUGCAUGUUUAAUGCUUUGUUUUAGAAAAAAGAGUUCAAUAAAGUCACAAAAAACAAAAACAUUGCCAUUUUUAUUUUUUUUGAAAAAAGAUGAAAACAAAAAAUAGAAAGACAGGGAUCACAAAGUUUGAUUUCAAAAAAUGUCCUUCAUUAAUGAUAAUCAUUAAAACAUGAUGAGGCCCUACAAUGAAUCACUACGCCUUGGGCAGAUCGUAGGAUUUUCAUGCAAAAUGACAAAACAACAGAAAAUUACUCUGUCAGAAGAGUAACUUGAACCACUUCUUCAGCCGUCCAGUUGUUGAUAGACCCCCCUGGUGCACACGGGCGAACCCAGUUGUCCAAAUCACAAUCACUGUCACAGUCUUCACUACCGGUUGCAGAGACGUCGCCAUGAUUCAUCAGCCCAGCGCUGGUAAAGGUACUCGGACCCGCUUGACCAUUCUGCUCUGCUUGGAGAGGCUCAUAACCAACGCCAAAUUUGUCUUCUUUGACAGGCAAGUCCACCAUCUUGCCCCAGCCUUCAGCUUUGCCAGAAUCAACAACCUCCUUAGCCUGCUUGUAAGAAGUAAUUGAAGCACCUGGCUUCCUCUGCUCAGCGUACGCCACUUUCUCAAGAGCCACAGUCUCAAACGCCUGGCAUAAGGUUUCGUGGAUCUCGCCAUCCACCUCAACAUAUUUGAACGAGGAUAGAUGACUCACCAGAAUCUCUUCUUCACCGCACACAGUCACAAUCUGACCGUUCCAGACAUACUUGAGCUUUUGAUGGAGAGUCGACGAGACUGCCCCUGCUGCAUGAAUCCAUGGACGCCCCAAUAAACAACUAUAGGCGGGCUGGAUGUCCAUAACAUAGAAGAUGAUAUCGAAUACCUCAGGACCUAUCUUCACAGGCAAGGUAACUUCCCCACACACAGAACGUUUGGAUCCGUCGAAAGCACGAACGAUCAGGUCACUGGGAGUAAGCACAAACCCUUCCACAUCAAUCUUCUUCAGAAUCUGCUUAGGCAACACAUUCAGCGACGACCCGGUGUCUACCAAUACGUGAGACAACACUGCCCCCUUGCACUCCAUGGUGAUGUGCAAGGCUUUGUUAUGGUUCCGCCCUUCAGGCGGUAAGUCCAGGUUGGUGAAUCCUACACCAUGCCUGGUGCUCACAUUGGCCAUCACACCCUCCAGUUGAUUGACAGAAAUCUCCUGAGGCACGUAAGCCAGAUUCAACAUCUUCAGCAAGGCAUUACGGUGUGCCUCAGAGCACAACAACAGUGAAAGUAUAGAAAUCUUGGACGGAGUUUGAUUCAACUGAUCUACAAUCUUGUAGUCACUCUUCUUGAUUAUCUUCAUAAACUCCUCCACGUCCUUCUCAAAUGACCCCUCGGGCGCUUCCUUCUGGACAGGUUCUUCCUCAACCACAGCUUGCUUACCCUUUGCUUUGGCGAGAGCCUCAGCAUUAUUGUCCCUCAAAGGCUGCGGUGCGAACAGACGACCGCUUCUGGUAAAACCUCCUGGACCCCCUACAUUAUCCACAGCCGGACCAACAGUUGCAGGAACUCUAUUCGGUAAACCAAUUGUCACUGGAGUUUGAUUCACUGGUCUCGUCUGACUUUCAGCCCUUCUGUAACUGCGGUGAGCAUUAUCAUACUUCCACGGCACGGCUCUACUAUUCUCAACAGCCCUUCUUCCAGACGCGGCGAUAGUAGUUGGAGCACUGAUGGUUACAGGCACGGGAAUGGUAACUGGGGUACCAUUUGUUGCAGGUGCACUAACGACCCUUUGUCCACGUUCUUCAGACGGUUUAAAGUAAAUGGUGAUAGUUGACACUGUUCCACGAUCUUUUACAGCCCUACUGAAUUGCAAACAACCCUCAUCCAUCAUACCCUGGAUACCGGCCCUUAACUGGUCGCAACCAUUCUCAGAUUCUGCACAGCCCAAACAAUCCUCAUCACAGCCCGAGUAGACACCCCCAUUCAGCAGACGGCCCUUCACAACUAGCAGAGAAGUCUGAACAUCAUCAACAUUAACAACCAGAUCUUCAGCUUCUUUCCCCUCAAUAUUGUUCACUCUAUGCCCACCAUGCUGAGGCAUAGGGUUGUUUACGACGUUAGGCACUGGAGCGAAGUUGAUCGCCUUGGCAUCGAUCAAAUCUUGGACCUUGUGCUGGAGAGCCCGACACUUCUCAGUAUGAUGCCCUGGUGCCCCAGAGUGAAAGUCACAACGGACGUUGGCGUCGUACCCAGGAGGCAAUACUGUAGGCGGAGCCAUUGUACGCAACUCAACCAUCCCCAACCUGAGUAGUUCGGGCAGCAGUUCGGCGUACGACAUGGGUAGCGAAUCAAAACGUCGAUCAGGCAUCCUUUGUCUGGGCUGAUACGGACGUUGUUGUUGUUGUUGUUGUUGCGGUUGUUGAACUCUUUGUUGUUGUUGUUGACGAGGUUGAGGUGCCGGAAUGGUUACUGCAGCAGCUUGACGGUAUUCAAUUCUGUUCUGAUCUCUGCGGUGUUGAACAGCAUUAGUUUCACCCUCUCUUCGACGAGGUGCCCCAGCAAACGGCUUCUUAGAAGAAGAGGAACCAGCAUCUUGGAUCUUCCCAGUUUUAAUCAAGCUCUCAGUCCUCUCUCCACAAAUGACAACAUCAGAAAAACUACCGAAUGGGCAGCUCCCCAUCCGGUCCAUAAACACACCUUGAAGAGUACCGAUAAACAUAUCUGUCAACUCCCUCUCCAGCAUAGGGGGUUGAACUCUAGCAGCCAGUUCACGCCACCUCUGGGCAUACUCCUUGAAGCUUUCAUUGGAUUUCUGACAAAGACUCUGCAGCUGAGUCCGGCUCGGUGCCAUGUCCAUGUUGUGUUUGUAUUGCCUCAAAAAGGCCUCACCCAGAUCCCUCCAACAGCGGAUAGAAUCUCUCUUCAAUUCCAUGUACCAGUCCAAAGAAGCCCCAGAUAGACUAUCUUGGAAAAAAUACAUCCACAUCUUUUCAUCAUCGGUAUACGCAGAGAUCUUUCGAUAAUAAGCCUGCACAUGGGUGCGAGGGCAAGAAGUACCGUUGUAUUUGUCGAAGGACGGUGCUUUGAACUUGUGAGGGAUUCUCAAACCUUCAACCAAUCCCAUAUUGGUAACAUCAAAACCGAGAGAAUUUUGACUUUCCAUAGCACGGAUCUUCUCAGCAAGAGCCUCAACUUUACGGUCUCUCUCAUUAACCCUUCCCAGAACGUCUUCGUCUUCACUGAGCAGAGAGAACAUAUCCUCUUGUCUGUCAACAAUCGGAACAGGAUUACGGGCCGGAGCACGGACUACUCUGGCAUUAGCGGCAUCUGGAACAAUAGGUUGACCGUUGAUUCGAAUACCCCCCAACUCAUCACCUACAGCAUAGUUGUUGACGGGUACAGCAGCAGCAACAUUGUUAUCAUUGACCGGGCCUCCCUCUGGCGGAGCAUGGUUGAUCGGUGGAUUUGCAGCCUCUUGUCUCUGAACCAUGGCUCGGAGUUCUUCUUGACCUUGCGCAACCCCUUGCAUCAUAUUCAUAAACUGGGCCAUGCUAGCCUUCAUCUCAGCCAACUCAGCUUGAAAUUGAUCCAUACUUCUCUGUUGAUUCAGUCUUGUUGAGUAGCGGUGCGGACGUUGAUCAGCUAUCCUGCCUGAACAGGAACCAAGAGUGAGAAGUCACGACCAAGAACACCUGUUAUGCAAAAUGAUAUGAGUAUGAUGCUAAUGAUGCGUAUGAUGCACAUGAUAUGCUCAUUUCUCAGGCAUUCAAAGAGCCUGACCCAUCCUGAAAAGAUGGCAACCUGCAGCAACAAGAGAACAAACAGAUACAAGGAAAAUGAGAACAACAGGGAAAUACUGACAACCUUAUCCAUACAUAAGGGUGAAAAGGUCAAUACCACCGAGUCAACAGAAAAUUCGCAUAAACAGAGUACAAAGAAAAGAAUCCCAUCCAACAAGCCUGGAGGUGAUUCUCAACAAAGAAGAUCCAAAGACGGAGUACAAACAAAUGAAUCCCAUCCAACAAGCCUGGAGGUGAUUCUCAACAAAACACAAACAAAGAUACAAACUAAGACAGACGGUCUUCCGGAAUGAGGGUCUUCAGGUAAUGGCACUGGUCUAUCAACAGUGUGCAUUCUGAACAUUCUGGUAGAGGGGUGAUCUUCUCCUUCAACUGUCUUCUGAGCUCCAAGACUUCUCCUCCAAGAUAGUCCUCUGAUUUCUGUCUCAACUCCAUCUCCUUCUUCAACUGAGCGUCUUUGUCUCUGAGUUGCUUCUCUAGGUCUCUGAUCUUCUUCUGAUAGUUGGCUUCUGCUCUCUGCAGUCUCAAGCGCUCCCUAUGCUCCUCAUCCAACAUAGACUCUAUCUCCUCAUAUGAUCUCUUCUUGCUCCUUGCUCUGCUAGCAUCUUCUCCUUGCACUUCCCUGAGUUGAUGGGCCAUGUGCAACCUAUCAGCUUUGGCUUUGUACAACUCCAUAUGGGUGUCUUGCUCCUUCUCCCUCAACCGACGACUCUCCAUCAGAGCUUGCUUAUAGUGCUCAGCAGGCACACUAUCAGCAAGAAUCAAGGGUGGUUGCUCUUGCAACGGUUCCAUCCUAUCGUAGGGUAGCAACAAAGUUUCCACUCUCUUCUUUACCCAAUCAGUGUAAUCAGGCAUGGCUAUGGCAAACUUCUUCCCUAGGACGGAUCCAUCUCUGACACCAAUGGACUUCCAAGCUCUUCCAAUCUGCUCCAACCUAACAGGGUCAUCCUUCUUCUCAAAGUACACACUCUCAGCUAUCUCAGCUUCAAGUGGUCUUCUACUCAUAACAAAACCUAACUGGCGAAGAGAAAGAACUGGAUUAUAAUUUAUACAACCCUUGGUCCCCACGAGUGGCACAUUCCGGAAUUCUCCACAGCUCAUAAUAACAUUCUUCACAUUCAUCCGGUAAGAUUGCCAUCUGAUGUCAUAAGAGGUGAGCGACAUGACCCUCUGAGUCCACUUGAGAGUGCUCUGAGUGUCCACAAAGGGUCCACUACCAGGCAGGAGUGACAUGAACCAUCUAAACAGGAGAGGUAGACAGCACCUGAUGGCUCCACCCUUACCAUGCCUACUGUGGAUGGCAUAGUAAGUAUCAGCUAACAAGGUGGGGACUGGAUUUCCUCUGAUGAAAAUGCUGAUGGCAGCAUGGUCAACAAAAUUUGGCAUACUGGGAAAUAGGAUGAUUCCAUAUAUCAAGGCGGCAAGCUGUGCGUGAAAAGCUUCCCAAUUUCCCUUCUCUGCUUCAUCUCUGGCUAUUCUCAACAGAAACUUCAAAGGCAGACCUACUACUUCCCCACAGGGCUUCCAAUUCUCACCAACUUCCUCAAUACUCAACCGGAGGGCUCUGGCAAUCAAUCUGAAGUCAACCUCCUUUGGGACGUCCAAGAAGGGAGUCUGAUGCUGAAUAGGGAUACUCAACAGGAUAGAGUAUUCCUCAAGGGUAGGUGCAAGCUGAUAAUCCUGGAAAGUGAAGCAUCUGAGCUCUGGGUCAUAAAACUGAAGUAGUGUCUACAGAGGCACUGGAUCUACUACUGUCUUCAAUACUGUCAAGAUAUCUCCGUACCGCCCAACAAAACUCUUCAGUUGGUCAUCUAUCACGAGGCUACCCAACUCAACUAGCGGAGUCAACGGCUCACGGGUGGAACUGUGAGGAACAGGUCCUUCCCGCUUCAGCUCAGGAACUGUUUGUCAUCUCUAUCAGUAGACAGACUCCUGGAAUGUACGCUGAGAAAAUGAAUAAUGCAGCCCAGAGAGAUUAGUUUUUCUUUUUCCUCUUUUUUUUGAUGAUUUUUUUGAUUUUUUUUUUUUGCGUUCUUUGAAAUAAAUAGCCCUAAUGAUGCACAAUGCAGACUGGACUGGCUGGUUGUGGGCAACUCUGAUACUAAGGUCAGAGCUUCAGUCCAAAAUCGGAACAAUAAAUCCCCAACUUAAGGUUAACUGAACACUUGUCUGAAACACAAAGUCACACAUCAGAAACCAAGUCACCAAACAGAAACCGGAGUCACCGCAAACGGUACCUGUAAUGAAAUAUCCCCUAUCCCAGUCAUUUUUUUUUUCUCACGGUGUAGUCUAGGCCAGGGUAAAGCUGAGAGAACGCAGCAUAAAUAACCUUUCGCAAAUACUAUUCAUAUACACACCACGAAAGUAUGUAACGACAGUAAUCCACCAGGGUCUGAACUGCUCGUGAAUCAAAUGUUCGCUAAGUGGCCCAUACCUAACGCCGCUUGCCCAUGAUACCUAUUGCCUAAUGCAUCCUAGAUUUUCACAUCAUGUCUGGGUAUUGGACGCUUCUUACCUCACUGACUCCCCCCCACACAGAGGAAAAAAACACGACAGGCCAUCCAGUAAUGAAUAAAUGAAUAAGUGAAAUGCCAAACAAUCAAUGCAACCACAAUCAAAGCAAAGCAAUAAAUGUACAGUAUAUACAUGAAUGCAAUAAAAAAUACAACAAGCAGAAAAGCACAAACCCUAAUCCUAGAGAGCGCUAGGAGAGACUCGCUCAAGGGAAGAUGGACGCAGCAGAGGUCAACUUCUCUAUAUCCCCAGCAGAGUCGCCAGCUGUAACGUGCAAAAUUAAAUUGACCGCCGGAAAAAAACCUCAGUUACGAGGAAGAGGAAAAGCAUUACAACAGACACCACAGCCACACACAAUUCCUAAUGUCGUUUAUGACCUUCAUUUCACCAAAAGCGCAAGAGAACGGCACAUCAGAAGUCAUAAGCAUGGAAGAACUAUGUGAGUUCUGCGAAAGCAGUAUGCCAGCAGAGAACUAUCAGAAAAGAAUGAGUCAUGAUUAUAUAUGCCGAGGAAAGAGACCAUCAGAGUCAUACAGACUCCUCUAUCCACAACGGGUUAAGAUAUACCACGUACGGAGGACCAGCAUCGAACAAAGGAAAGAUUUUGAGAGGAUGCUAGGACACCACUAGCUCACACAUCACACACCACACUGGCUAAAAGAGACAAAAGAAACAGAACAGCGAGAACUGAACACGGACGAGACGUGCAGAUCCUGGGAGCUUCCACUUAGAAUUACAAUCUAGUGGAGACAAAUAAGAUCCACUAGCAGUCAAGUAGAGUAGAGAGAAAAGAAAAUUGCAUAACAACCUAGAGGUUGAGAACAGACAUGCAACUUCGCUUUGAAGGGAAACCAGAUAGAUGUCUCUACAUUCUAUCUUCUCGAGCAUAAUCAUAGUCACUCCUGAACGACGAUAGCAAGCACUGCGAGGAAAGCGAUAUCGGAGAAGUCUUCGGACUUGAGACGCACACAUACAACAAGAGUAGCAAAGCAAACAAUGGAGACCCGACACUGCGCGCCUAAUCAGCGUGGAACUUACCUCGGGCAACAUGCAAUACACACACGACACGCACAAACACAGGAAGGAGAACAAUACCAGAUACCACAGCGAGCUGGAAGACACGCAUAUAUAAGACACUAUUCAAGAGGGAUGGUGCUCGCCUUAUCGAGCGAGCUCGAAGACACCACAGGCAGACAUGUAUCAAACACGCUAUAAUUUAGGCGACUCGGAGACUCAAGCACUAACACUAGGGCAAACCCCCACAAAUACACAAAAAAAAGGGUGCAGAGCACCACGCACAGAGAUCAGCUCAAUCUCGCUGCGCGCUACAUACUCAUAGAACCUGCGCUCAAAGGAGAUACGAGAGGCGACUGGUAGUUUCCACAGGUUAAUGGAACAAAUCAAGGCGAAGUGAAUAGAACAGGAAAUAUGAGCACUAACAAAAGAUACAGACGCGGUGCACAGACCACAUAGUAGAGACGACAGCACUCGAUCAAGACCGAAGAACUGAUUUCACUCGAUGCAGAGAAGCAUAGAGCUACGUAAUUAAUCAAAGUGAUUUCCUGAGCUAACACUGGCACAAGUGAGACACACAGACAUCCCUAUCUGAACUGCACACGAGAGAUAAGCACAGCCACAACACCACACUUUAACUUGCAACAGGGAAGCAAGCCAAGCAAACACACUAUAAACGGUAUAGCACAGGAACAGCCACACUACUAAAAACCACACUCAAAGCACACCUCAAAUCUUAACACAGGAAUUGCAAGUCAAGACACAAAUCACUACACAGCCACAAGAAUAACAACACAAUAACUCGGACACAGCCAGUGUGGCUCAACAGGAUACAGGAUCUUAAAGUACGGAACUCGGCGAGAUCGUAAUCAAGCUAUACACAACAACCAUCUCUGGAAGCUUACGAGUGAUGUUAGGCUCUAACGACUGCAUCUGAAGAACACAAGAGGUAAAGACUACCAGCACGAGAUAGGAGUGAGAUCUAGGCAAGAUAAGAUAUCCAUAUGCGCGUAAAUCACCCAUUGGACGGCGGAGAGCCACCAAGCGACAACGCAAUGAUUGUACGGGUUCAGAAAGAGAGAACCCAAUAACGGGCAUAAUAGAAUACUGUUCACGAUCAACUGUAGCAAUUGUAACAAGAUCUUGGGUUUUUAUACUGUAAAUGCUACAUAAACAAUAGCUAUGUAUCAAGACAAAAAAAACGCAGAGACACGAAAAGAAAUUCUCCCAUUCAGAUAGAAGGGAUGCAGGAAUUACAGAUGGAUUAAUACCCUCUCACUAUAUACCACCAACUAAAACUGGAUAUCACUUCAGGACGCAGUAUUGAGAGACUACUAUAGACAUAGGACAUAAACUUAACACCUAGCACAAUACAUUUAGCACACUAAAGCAGGAACAUAUAAACUAGACAGAACUAGAACCAAAAGAUCACAGGCCAGUUCUUCAGACUCAUGAAGUAAAGAGAGCAGAACAUAUACCCUCUCGUCAAGGACCACGAUCAUAUACAAUUCGAACAAUGACAGAAGCACACGAUUAAAAGUUCAAGAACUAAGCAAGAUCACAUAAAGUACCCUGAGAACAGUAACGCACAAAUGUUAGUAUAAGUCACAAACUACUUAUAAUCAAAACCAAACCAGAAAAUGACAACCGAAACCUAAAUUAAUGCACACCUAACAGUCAAUUCUCAGAGCAGGAGCACAUAAAAGAACUUGUGCAAAGCACAUAAAGACAUAAGCAUUGAUAGAGAUGCGCAAGCUCACCUCACUCAACACAAUCAAAAAAGAAUAUAUUACUUAAGACAAGUCUCAGCAAAGAUCGCUACACCUCAUGAAGCUCAUCUCUAGUAAUGUCAAAAAUCCAUGCAACACUUAAGCUCAGGAGUAGUAGCAGGAAACUAGGACAAUUCAGCACACUAGGGCAAAUAGAAUAAGACAACAAAAACUAUACAAGCAAAGAUGAGUAUAUCAAAUCAUGUUCGCAACAAUGCUAAGAAACAACCAAUAGCGGAUAUCCACCCAUUCAAUCAAAUAACACAAGACAUCAUUAAAUAUGACAAUGAGCUCAACAUGGCCAAUUUAGAAAGCUCAUAGAAGUCAAACCAGCAGACUUGCACACAAACAACAUGCUUAACAAGUCCAACAACUUCACCAAAUAGAGAAUCUUCAUAAGAUCAAAAACAACCAUAAACACCACACAUGUCAUCCCUUCGUUUGAUAAAGAAAAUUACUAGUAAUGAAUAUGCAUAGGUAAUACAAUUCCAAGUCCUAACUCUCGACAAGUGGAUUAGGCAGUCAAUGAAUAAUCAGAGAAAGUCAAAGCACAUUGAUCUGCUAUAGCAAGACAAAAACCCAUGAACACACUAACAUUCAGUUCUAUAAGACAAAUGCAAAAGUCAAGAGACAGGAAAUAUAAACGAUCAAGUGAUAUGGGGACUAACAACCACAAAGCACUGGAGAGUCUAGUUAAUCUCAUCAUGACCACACAACUUUCAUGGUACCUAGCAAACCAAAAUAAAACUACUGAUGAAAUUCAAAAUCGAAAAUCGAGAAAACAGUUCUGAUCCAACCAAAGUACACACACACAGAUUGGAACUAGGAGACAACCAGCGAAGACGACAGCACAUCCAGAUACAAUUAGGGAAAUUCCCACAAAUAAAUAUAUCAAAUAAAAGGAUCACCCAAUGGUAUAACUAGAGACACAAUAACACACGUAGGUCACUAUUGACGCAAAACACCAACACACACUUGAGAUACACAAGAAGCAUGUUGAAAUUUCCGAAUCAUCGAGAGUGGCGACAUCACAAAUGAUGAGGAAUGCAAAUGAUUCACAUUCUCACAGAACAAUACAAAUUUAAAAUCAUAACUAAAAACUCCUCAAAUAAUAAUUACAAUAAAACACUUUACAACACAAAAUAUCAUCACAAUUGAGUGCUGUUAUUAUAAUGAACAAAAAUGUUGAGAGAAGACUCGAGGUAUGAAAGAGAGGCAAACAUUCUCAUCUAUUUCCACAAGUUAGAGAUGGCAAUGAGAAAACAAAUUAUAUAGGUCACCCAGACACCACCACAACCCUAGAGAGAAACAAAUAAAAAACAACACAUACCACAAAUUUCUGAAAAUAAUGAAUCAUAAAGUAGAGAGAUACAUAGCGAUGAAACACAAAAAAUCCCACGCAGAAUUUGCGAGAAUCUCAAAAUGUAGGAAACCAUGAUUUGCGAAGAUGGUGAGCUUUAAACAAUGAAAGUAACACUUAAUUGCAUAAAUUACAAAAGCAAGAAUGGCCAGAUUUAGAAUGUGUAUAUUUCUUCCAUCUAAUCACAUUAAUAAAACACAAGAAGUCGUUAAUGCAGAAGAACUCGAAAUAUGUGUAACAUUGGUUGAAUGGCGAAGGAAACGCCGAGCACAUGCUCCACCGAGAAAGAGAAAACAUCUGCCACAGCCCAACAAAUGCACUAAUGACCUAAGUCGGGUUUCACUGCAAACCAUUCACAUCGAUCUUUCUUAUCAAGUUCAAAAACAACCACAUUCCACCAAAAGUACACAAUCUUAAACCGGCACAAUCAGGGCGUGACCACUCAAUACACACAGACACACAUCUCUAACCAAAACGAACAAAUGAAAUGCACGAUUGCUUAUCUAUCCAGUUAUACUGCAAAAUAAAGUUUGGAUCCAUCCAACGUCCACAUUCUCAAAAUAAUCUCAACACAUGAACUAACCAGCUUGUAAAACUAAGACCACACCACCAUUAUUAACAGAAGACACAUAACAUCGACCAGGACCUACAUAUAUAAAGCCAUGCCAACUAUUACCACCAACAAGGGAGUUCAAAUCUUCAUCACCAAUUUGGAGAUUACACGAUAAGUCGGUCGCAAAGAUGCUUAUCUGAUGUUAUGAAGAGAAUGAAAACACAGCUUUGCAACACGACACAAUAACCUUCCAUCAAGUGAACCGAAAUAGUCAGCGACAAGCCCCUUUGAACCUCACUGAAGACUAUAGGAUACCUGAGUCUCAACAAUCUCUGCCAUGGGAAUGAAUGCAUAGCGUGAGACACCAGACAGUGGUGGACACAUAGGCUAUACAGGUGGAUGAAUGACUUCUCGCCUUACAAGCCAAACAAUGAGCUUCGAUGAUGUUUACAUGCAUAGGCCCAAAGUUUUGUCACCACUCCAAGUACACGAUAUUGCGACUCGAUCUUUGGCACAACACGAUCGUAAAAAGCUAUGCGCAAUGAUUAUGCGCACAACUCGCACUGGGUGUACGGGUUAAUCAACUUCAUCCAAACACAUAUGCUCUACUGGUUUUUUAUGACAGGAAAUGGUGGAAAACAUUGCCCUCAAGCCAGGCCAAAUUUCUAGAAUCAUUGUGCCACACUACUGUGACAAAGAAAAGUCACAGCACGAAAGGCGUGAGAGUUUUUCUCACGCAUCGAUAUAGCAAAAGCGUUAUGGAUCUGAUCUUGCGUAUGGCCAAUCUAGGCACAGCAAGGACCACGCCGUGAGUAUAUCCGAUAGAAGUUCGGAUGGAGUCCAUAACAUAACACAAGCUACAACACCCAUUCACUACCGAGGCCUAUGGUUUGUGAGAGAAAGAAUUCUAUGGGACAGUUCCAUAUGAUAAUAAAACUGUUCAGAAACGUUCGACGGUUUAAAAAUGAAUGAAAGGUGCGUUGUGUCUGAUUGCCUAUGGCCUAGCAGGGUUGAAAGCACAAUGCAAGCGCUCAGGUUUAGUUCAUUGUGAGCUUUGACAGUUUUUUUGGUAAACUGCAAGUGAGGUGAGUUUGAAUGACAUGAUGAAUGCAGCAGGUUGGUCUCUGCUAUGCUGCUACUCUGCUACUUACGCUCGUCACAAGACAGAAGAGACGAGGAAAUAUGGUAUUAAGGCAAAAGCCAGGUUUGUGUGGAGGUUUUGACAGAGCAAUCACAAAUGCCACAAAAGAUGAGUUUUUAGCAUAUGAAGUUUGUUGGUCCCUGCUGUUGGUUCCAUGACAGAAAAAUGAGGUUUUAAUUGCUGUUUCAUGUUGCUUGGAUGAGGAGAACCAUAAGCUUGCUAGGGUUACUUGAGAUUUUGGGAGAUCAGAAAAAUGGCCAAGGAUGUGUAUCAAUGAAUGAGUGAAGGUUGUUGCAGUGCAAGGGUUUGUAGCAUGACAGAAAAUGAUAACAAGACUGCUAUGUGCAGUACCAAGCAUGGCAAGGUUUUCUGUCCUUUUGGAAAUUCUUUUGACAGCUCUUUUAAAAUGCAACAGCAGGGUGAGAUUUUGAGAGAGUGACCAUGCUUCUUCUGCUGUACAAUGGCUGCUAUUAGUGUUCAUGAUGCAUAAACCUGCUGUUGGAAGUACCAAGCAUGGCAAGGCUUUUGUCCUUUGAGGAUUUUUUGGAGAUUUUGAAGAUUGGCCAAAGUGAAGUUUUUUAGCAAUUAAUUUUCUGUUGGCUUUGCCUGCUAUUACUGACUUCUCAUGACAGAAAUCAUGGACAAUUCUGCUGCCUUUGUGGUAACAAGGCAUGGCUCAUGGAUAUGUGGGAUAUGGUGUUGCAAAUUGUACUUUUCUUCCCAUUUUCAAGCAACUAGGCAUGGCUAUGUGAUGGGUGCAAGUACUUGCACGAAUUUGACUUUGUACAUGCUGCAAAUAACAUUCCAAGCAAGUUCCAAUUGGCCCCAAGUGUUAAAAAUGCAUAAUUCAAAAAGUCAACCAUUGGUCAAACUUGAAUUUCACAUAUGCUAGGUUCAAAAAUGCCAUUUUGAUUGGCAAGGUUUUGUUCAUGAAAUUUAUAUUUUUGAAAGAGGAGAUCAAAUGUGACUUGUAGGAAAAAACCCCACCCAAAUUGGCCAAACGGUUUGAGAGAUAUGGCCUUUGAAGUUCAAGAAUUUCUGAAAUCGAUUCGAUCAUAAUCUGCCAACCACACAUGGGAAUGAGAGUUCUUGGACUUUUUGGAAAUGGAGAACAAGAUCUUCAACUUUCAUGUUGGCAAAAUUCAUUUGAAGCUUGUAUCAUGAUGUAAGUUUGAGGAUCAAGACUUUCCAUUUUUUGUAAGUUUCAGUUACAGGCCCAUUCCAUUUUUGGAAAUUUUUGCUCUGGCUUCAAAUUCUUCCACGAUGGUGUUGACAUGAUAUAUGAGGACUAUUUGGCCAUGAAUGAGCUCUCACAAACCAAUUCCAGUCAUCAAAUCACUGAUUAAAUGGACAUUUGACCAACAGUUGACUUUAGGGUUUUGGCUGACUGCGCAUGGACUGAUACUUCCAAACCCUAAUUCCUGAGACCUUGACUUCAAAUGAUGUCCCAAGUUGUAUGGACUCUUGAUUAUUGAUCAUGGUGCCCAAAUCCCACAAGAAUGGCCACCAUCCACUGCUUUGACUGACUGUGGACUGUCUAGGGUUUUGACUGUCUGUGUGUGAACUGAUGACCUCUGAGCCUUCAACCCUUGACUUGAACCUUCAAAUGGACCCCAAGUCAUGUGAUCUUGUUGGACAAACCCUAGGCCUUGCUCCUGAGAAAUGCACUUGCUUGCUUGGUUGACUGAUCUCCUGAUCAGUUUGACCUAAUUCCUUGAUUGGCUUGCACUGAGGCAAAUGAGGCAAUGCAAUGCUAUGCAAUGGACCAUGAUAUGCUAGACCUAAUAUGAAAAUGUAUGUACAAUGAUAGGUGCAAAUUUGAGUGCUACAAUAUGCCUAAGUGAAACAAAGUUGCUCUGAUUUGCCUCUGUUCUAAGUUGGAUGAUUGUAAAAGUGAUUCGAGUUUCUAUUUAUAAGCAAGUAAAAAGAUGGAAAUGACAAGGAUGCCCUCAACUUGAAAAAUGGGAGGGAAAACUUUCCUCUUGUGGCGCCGCCACAAGGCCAAUGGCGCCCGCCACAAGGCCAAUCUGAGGCGCCUUAGUGGAAGUAGUGGGGAACGUGGAAGUUGAGGGAAGUUGAGCUUGGACAUGUCAUGCAGGGUCUAUGGCGCGCAGCCAUGGGGUAGGCCACAAGUACAAAAUGCUGAAAUUUUAGGGUUUUUAGCUCUUUUUCACUCCUUUUCUCGAUCGGGGCUCCGAUUAAAGUAAAAACCUGAAAAUAA